CAGUCGCCGCGGUAAUACGUAGGUGGCAAGCGUUGUCCGGAAUUAUUGGGCGUAAGGGGCUCGCAGGCGGUUUCUUAAGUCUGAUGUGAAAGCCCCCGGCUCAACCGGGGAGGGUCAUUGGAAACUGGGAAACUUGAGCGCAGAAGAGGAGAGUGGAAUUCCACGUGUAGCGGUGAAAUGCGUAGAGAUGUGAGGAACACCAGUGGCGACGGCGACUCUCUGGUCUGUAACUGACGCUGAGGAGCGGAAGCGUGGGGAGCGAACAGGAUUAGAUACCCCCGUAGUCCCUGUCUCUUAUACA
rnacentral:rRNA from 1 species